GACGAACGCGGCGGCGUGCCUAAUACAUGCAAGUAGAACGCUGAAGGAGGAGCUUGCUUCUCAGGAUGAGUUGCGAACGGGUGAGUAACGCGUAGGUAACCUGCCUGGUAGCGGGGGAUAACUAUUGGAAACGAUAGCUAAUACCGCAUAAGAGUAGAUGUUGCAUGACAUUUGCUUAAAAGGUGCAAUUGCAUCACUACCAGAUGGACCUGCGUUGUAUUAGCUAGUUGGUGGGGUAACGGCUCACCAAGGCGACGAUACAUAGCCGACCUGAGAGGGUGAUCGGCCACACUGGGACUGAGACACGGCCCAGACUCCUACGGGAGGCAGCAGUAGGGAAUCUUCGGCAAUGGACGGAAGUCUGACCGAGCAACGCCGCGUGAGUGAAGAAGGUUUUCGGAUCGUAAAGCUCUGUUGUAAGAGAAGAACGAGUGUGAGAGUGGAAAGUUCACACUGUGACGGUAUCUUACCAGAAAGGGACGGCUAACUACGUGCCAGCAGCCGCGGUAAUACGUAGGUCCCGAGCGUUGUCCGGAUUUAUUGGGCGUAAAGCGAGCGCAGGCGGUUAGAUAAGUCUGAAGUUAAAGGCUGUGGCUUAACCAUAGUACGCUUUGGAAACUGUUUAACUUGAGUGCAAGAGGGGAGAGUGGAAUUCCAUGUGUAGCGGUGAAAUGCGUAGAUAUAUGGAGGAACACCGGUGGCGAAAGCGGCUCUCUGGCUUGUAACUGACGCUGAGGCUCGAAAGCGUGGGGAGCAAACAGG
rnacentral:rRNA from 1 species